UUAAAUUGAACGGGGUGGGGAAUUUUCCUGCAGACUUUUUGGGGGAUUUUCGCAGGGUCUCGGGUCCAUGGGAUUAAAAAUUAAGAGUUUGGUCGUCCCUGAGGUCCAAAAGGUUGGCGACCCCUGGACUA